GACGUGGGGGGCCAGCGUUGCUCGGAAUUACUGGGCGUAAAGGGUCCGUAGGCGGUGCGGUAAGUCGGAAGUGAAAUCUCUGGGCUUAACUCAGAGGCUGCUUUCGAAACUGCCGUGCUAGAGUGCGGGAGAGGCGAGUGGAAUUGCAGGUGUAGCGGUGAAAUGCGUAGAUAUCUGCAGGAACACCCGUGGCGAAGGCGGCUCGCUGGACCUCAACUGACGCUGAGGAACGAAAGCUAGGGGAGCAAACAGG
rnacentral:rRNA from 1 species